rnacentral:rRNA from 1 species
UACGUUGGGUGCAAGCGUUAAUCGGAAUUACUGGGCGUAAAGCGUGCGCAGGCGGCUAUAUAAGUCAGAUGUGAAAUCCCUGGGCUUAACCUAGGAACUGCAUUUGAGACUGUAUGGCUAGAGUGUGUCAGAGGGGGGUAGAAUUCCACGUGUAGCAGUGAAAUGCGUAGAGAUGUGGAGGAAUACCGAUGGCGAAGGCAGCCCCCUGGGAUAACACUGACGCUCAUGCACGAAAGCGUGGGGAGCAAACAGG